ACAGCUUCAUAAUCAAUGCAAUGUCUCGUGUGUUGUUUGGGGGGGCUAAGGCUGCCAGGGUACCCGGUCGGCUGGCGGGAAGGCUACAGGUUACAGUCUUGCCUGAGCUGCAACUGGCAAUACAGUUACUGGGGCCCCGAGGGAGCUGUGGACGGAGGCUCACAGCACCCAACGAUCCCCUGGUUCUCAUUCUGACAACACAGCGGAGUUCGGCACAGACCUGCAUUGCCAGCACAUCACAAGUCAGACUGUCGCGCGGACUACGCAUGCGCGUUACCCAGCGGAGUUCAGCACAGACCUACACCGCCAGCACAUCACAGUCCCCAGAGAACAGCGUGACUCCAGAUGCGGUGCAGGAGAGGCCCACGGAGGCUCAGGGUGACACCCAGGAGAUUCCAGCCCAUGAGAAGAAACCCAGGAGAGAAGUGAGAUGGGGUGGAGCCAUCCCCAGAUGUCUCUGUCCCAGAAGAAAGGGCGGAGGGCUCAACAGGCGAGCUUCCCCGGAGCUCAGGAGUGGGCCGCCAGAGCCGCAGCCAUUCUCUAUGAGGGUUUCUUCAUAGACAUAAUAAACUCAUUGACCAAGCAGCUAAAACAAACGAACGAAUCAUAAGUAAAACGCGGCAGGCAAGGCAGGUGCAGACAGCACCAUGAAGCCGAGUACGCCUUCCCUUACCUUCCCUUUUCCAUUGUUACUCAAAUCGCUGGGAUAAUUUUCUUUUGCUCAUAUUUUGGGCUGAUUAUAUCUAUUUUUCCGGUUCUAA